UAUGCGAUCGCAAUCGCUGUCGCCAUCACCGUUAUUGUUGGGGGAAACAGUUUCUUUCGACUGGAAGCCACGUUUUGUCCUCUGCGUUGAACAAGGGCCAGGUACACGUCUGACUUUCAGGAAGUAACUCGUCCUUACCUUACCCCCGUACCUAAGUUACAGCACCCAAAGCGAGAGGAUCGUCGCAACACGACAAGAACACAGCUUGCGUCGUAGUAGACCAGCUGGGAUCGGUUAAAAGAAGUUAUGGGACCGUCUUACGUAUUUUACGGCCUGAUGUUCGGCCUGAGCUUUGUAGUGGUCAGCACUGACGCCAACGAGUAUUACAAUGUGUACAGGAGGCUGUUACUACUGGAGACGAAGAAACGUUACUCGUGCUUGCAAUGCUUCAUUCGCCCAUGUUUGAAGGGAGAAAUGGCUGUGACUCCGAUGGAUGUUGUGCCAUUGUGCUGUCGCAUUUGCAAGGUUGUAGGAGCCGGUAAACAGUGCGCCGUAUACAGGCAACACAAGCCCGAUGUGUGCGACGAUAAUCACCGAUGCGACACACGGAAGCAGAUCUGCGUCCCAGCACAGCGCCGUCACGUGACACACAGAAUAUCACGCUCUAGGUUCGGUCGUCAUCCGAUGUGGCGACGGCGACGCUGAUCCCCGUGUGGAGAGCACACUUCCUGGCAGCUACGCGUGUAUACCUCCUCAUCGUACUAAACGUGCCACCUGUAUGGCUUA